rnacentral:misc_RNA from 1 species
UCUUUUUUUUUUUUUUAAUGGUAUUUUUUUCCAUGGAAGAGAACUCUUACCUCUUAACUUGGUUAUGACUCUAAUCUUAAUGGUAUGGAGUGUUUUUGCUGGGAAACAUAUGAACUCUUUUGUCUUUUGUAGCUUACUGCUCUAACCUGAUUGAGUUAAAAAAUUAUUGACAAUUUUUUUCGUCUUCCAAAUUUUGACAUAUCACAUAACUUAGGAAUAAUGUUUUAGUAUUAUAAUCCUUUUCCCUGUUGGUUGCUUUGUCUGUGGGUGUGCAUGGCGUGUAGUAUGUUGUAUGCUGUCAAUUAUGAAAUGAAUACUGGUUUCUUUUGUUAUUAUUAUUUUAAAAUUUUUCCUAGCAGUAACAUUUUCCUAUAUUCUGUCACUUUGAGUUGAGAAAAAUGUUAAUAUGCCUGUCUUUUUUGUCAGCCAAAAAGUUCAAUGGGUUCAAUGUGAGGAUUGUUUUAAAUGGCGCAAACUGCCUGCCAAUGCUCUUCUUCCCUUCAAAUGGACAUGUUCUGG